CCAGCUAAUUUUUUUUUUUUUUUUUUUUUUUUUUUUGUAUUUUUAGUAGAGACGGGGUUUCACCAUGUUGGCUAGGAUGGUCUCAAUCUCCUGACCUCGUGAUCUACCUGCAUCGGCCUCCCAGAGUGCUGGGAUUACAGCUUACUAAGUCACUGGGACAGCUAAUUCUAAGUGAGCAGAUUACAGCACCGCAUUUUUCCAGCUAAACGACUCACAGAUCCAAGAAUCCCAGAAAGAUGACUGGACAUUUGAUUUCGAAACUGAAGAUUUAAGUAAUUUGCCAGAGUCAGAAUGCUGUAAGCAUCAGAACUGGAUUUUCAAACUUAAGUUUAUCUGACUCAAAAGCUUUUGCCUUUCACCACCACCCUAUUGCUUCUAAAAUGUCAAACAUCGGCUGAACCACAGGACAGGUACCCUAUAAAUGUAAGUUUAUCUUUCUCAUCCCCUUCCAAUAGUGCCUCUGAUUCUUUCUGUAUUCUUCCCCACCAGCAGGUACUGAUUAUUGUCUGCCACAUUCUAUUUCAUGGAAUAUUUCUUAAGUUUUACCUUUUGAUGAAAACACAUCCCAAGUGUCUGAGAGAAGAUCAUUAAAAUUACAACUUAAAAGAGAACUGACCCAACUGCCUAUGAAACUUAGCUGCACAAAAAUACUGCAAUCAGCUCAACAGGAUUUACUGUGUACUUCUGAUAAGCCAAUACUACUUAGAAGAAAUUCUUCAGAUUAUGGUCUGGAAACUUUUUAUAUUGCACACUUAAUCAGUAGUAGAAUAUUGAGUGUGUACUCCAAAUUUCUGUAUAAUUUACUUAUAAAUUACAUACUUAUAUUUUAAUUAUGAUCUUAUAUAUUUAUAACAUAUAAUAAAAUAUAAUUAUAUUUAUAAUAUAAAAUUUCAGAUAUUGAAAUCCUAACCCCAAUGUGAGAAGCAUUAGAAGGGGGAGCCUUUGGGACAUAAUUAGGUCAUGAGGGUAAAGCCCUCAUGAAUGGGAUUAGUGCCCUUAUAAAAAGACACAAGAGUUUGCUUUCUCUCCUAUUCUCUCUGCUCUCCACCAUGUGAGGUGGAGGACAUGGCAAGAAGACUGCCAUCUGUAAACCCAGAAGCAGACCCUCACCAGAACUCAAUCUGUUGACAAGUUGACCUUGGCCUUCUCAGCCUCCAAAAGUGUGAGAAAUAAAUGUUUGUUAUUUAAUCCACCUAGUCUAUGGUAAUUUGUUAUAGCAGCAGAGCUAAGACAAUGUAUCUAUAAAGUAUGUGCAUUGUGAAACAGACAAUAAAAGUUAAUAAA